UUUCCAUUGAAAUUUUCUUCCGUUCCAUUCAUAAUUGGAUUACGAAAUUCCUUCGUUAUCAGUCCUACAUUUUGUUUGAGUGACCUCUUUCAUCUGUCGUCCGCAUCUGACAAAGUGUUUUUGUUCUUCUUCGACAUGUCUUGGAGGUGUUGUGUUUCUGGUUGUGGUUCCGAAGGAGUACCUUUAUUUCGUAUUCCAAAAUUUAAUGAAAGUUUAAAAACUGCUUUGCAAGAAAAAAAAAGGAACGAAGAAUUGUUUGGCUUCAAAAGCUUAACGUGAAGGAAUGUGAUUUAAACAACAACACUCGUGUUUGCUGUCGUCAUUUUGCAUCUGGCAGGCCAUGUAAGAAUUCUUUCGAUAACUCUCACCCGGACUGGGCACCUUCACUACACGUCAGAAAUUCUGUUUUUGACAGGGUUGUACAGAGAAACAUUAGUCGACAUUCCAGAAGGCUUGAAAGGGAAUCAAGAACAUUGGAACAGAUCAAUGCUGUCGUAAACAAUGGAAAGAGUGCCGCCAAUAGACAAGAUAAUGAUGUGCCCAAUGCAGUGGUAAACAACGAACAUGAUUGUCUGAUAUGUUGGAAAGUUGAAGCAAUGAUUUUGCAUCUGAACAAGUUCCUAAUUUUUUCGGUGUAGAAAUCAGCGAUGAAUGUAACAACGGUGUUGAAAACCAACAUGAAGCUACUGGAGUCUACAAAAUGUUGGAACUGAUGACAAGGGAAAGGGACUGUCUACUUGUUGAAAAUGAGAAAUUACGUAGAAUGAAUGAGCAGUUAACUGCAUCUGAAAAAACCCUUCAACAACAAGUGAAUAAUUUGAA